rnacentral:lncRNA from 1 species
AAAUAUCAUGAAAUAUCAUCAAUUUCAGCCACAAUAUCUUCCCUAGAAAAUUCGGCCAAUGAUGGUGAUGGGGGAAAAUGAAUUCUUUUCUUGUUGUUUUCUUUCUAAAUAUGCUAAACUAACUAAAAAUACUAACAUAACUUAAAAUCAAAUCAAUCCAACAUCUUUCUCUCUCCAUACCCAUUUUGACCUGCCAUGAAUUCACCAUGAAAACAUGAAAUCUAACCAUGGAAAAUAAGGAGAAAUGCAUGGGAAAGGUAGAUCACAAGUCAAAAUCAAGAAAUUUUACCUUUGAUUGCUUGAUUCCUUGAAAUCCACCAAUUUUUCUUCAAUUUUCCCACCUAGGGUUCUUGUUGUUUUUUCCUUUCCUCCUUUGUUCUUCUUUGGCCGGCCAUAUGAAU